rnacentral:rRNA from 1 species
GAAUUCUGACGGGAGUUGUAGCUGGCCAUGCAUAUGGUACGGCAUGUGCACGCUCUGGUCAUUAUCCAUCUUACCCACCUGUGCACACUCUGUAGGCUGGCUUGUGGUUGGGGUGACGGUCUUAGUUGACCUCGCUCUGGUUGGUGGCCUUCCUAUGUACCAUCACAAACCACUACAGUUUAAAGAAUGUACCCCUGCGUGUAACGCAUUUAUAUACAACUUUCAGCAACGGAUCUCUUGGCUCUCGCAUCGAUGAAGAACGCAGCGAAAUGCGAUAAGUAAUGUGAAUUGCAGAAUUCAGUGAAUCAUCGAAUCUUUGAACGCACCUUGCGCUCUUUGGUAUUCCGAAGAGCAUGCCUGUUUGAGUGUCAUGGAAUUCUCAACUCUACUCACUUUUGUGGGUAGCAGCUUGGAUUUGGAGGAAUCAUUGCCGGAUGCUGUAUGGUGUUCGGCUCCUCUCGAAUGUAUUAGCUUGACUGUUCUGCAGAUCAGCUAUCGGUGUGAUAAUUUUAUGCGCCGCUGCUGUGAAGCAGGUCAAUGGGCUUGGCUUCCAAUCGUCCUUUCCAUGGACAAUCACUUUGACUUCUGACCUCAAAUCAGGUAGGGUUACCCGCUGAACUUAAGCAUAUCAAUAAGCGGAGGAAAAGAAACUAACAAGGAUUCCCCUAGUAACUGCGAGUGAAGCGGGAAAAGCUCAAUUUUAAAAUCUGGUGGUCUUUGGCCAUCCGAGUUGUAGUCUGGAGAAGUGCUUUCCGCGCUGGACCGUGUACAAAUUUCC